rnacentral:rRNA from 1 species
UGAGGAAUAUUGGGCAAUGCCCGCAAGGGUGACCCAGCAACGCCGCGUGGAGGAUGAAUGUCGUAAGAUUGUAACUCCUGUUAGAGGGGAAGAAUAGUACCAGUUGGACCGGUAUAUGACUGUACCCUCAGAGAAAGCCCCGGCUAACUACGUGCCAGCAGCCGCGGUAAUACGUAGGGGGCAAGCGUUGUCCGGAUUUACUGGGUGUAAAGGGCGCGCAGGCGGGAUAAAAAGUCAGUGGUGAAAUCCUACAGCUUAACUGUAGAACUGCCUUUGAUACUUUUAUUCUUGAGUUCGGGAGAGAGAGACGGAAUUCCAGGUGUAGUGGUGAAAUACGUAGAUAUCUGGAAGAACACCAGUUGCGAAGGCGGUCUCUUGGUCCGACACUGACGCUGAGGCGCGAAAGCGUGGGGAGCAAACA